UACGGAGGGUGCAAGCGUUAAUCGGAAUUACUGGGCGUAAAGCGCGCGUAGGCGGUUUGUCACGUCAGGAGUGAAAACUCGGGGCUCAACCCCGAGCCUGCUUCUGAUACGGGCAGACUGGAGGUAUGCAGGGGAGAACGGAAUUCCUGGUGUAGCGGUGAAAUGCGCAGAUAUCAGGAGGAACACCGGUGGCGAAGGCGGUUCUCUGGGCAUUACCUGACGCUGAGGAGCGAAAGUGUGGGGAGCGAACAGG
rnacentral:rRNA from 1 species